GAUGCUGUUUGUGAUUGUUGAAUCAAUCUUACUUCCUUUUUCAUCUACAUUUCCCCCUAGAAGUAACUGUUGCAGUAGUUAUUGUUAGCAUUUAUUAACAGCUAUUUCUCCUUCUUUGUUUUUUUCUGAGAGUACUGCAGGAGUGGUGACCAUGAGGCCGCCCUGGUGGUGGAGCUGACGGGUGUUUCUGAGUUUCUCACCUGAGCUCCACACUCCUGAUGGUGGUACCAUUGCAUGAUCCUGUAACUGGUACAAGAAACAUUUGAAGACAUGGCAGCGGUGGAGUCCAGCAGCUCUCCGCAGUGGAACACUACCUGAAUUUGCAGCCUGUAUAUUUGGAGCUGCUGUAUAUUUACGCCCGACUGUUUGACUUGGCAUCGCACUCUUGAUAAUUUAUGACUCAUCUGGUGUCAAUCUGCCAUCACCCGCCUCAUAAAAGCUACCAAAAUCAUGAAUGUAUUCUUCAGACGACGGGCAGCGUCGCUGUGAUUUGUGGACUCUAUCUUUCUCACAGCGGACUGGAGUUUGGGUUUGAAUCAAUGUGUCUCAGAGUCAAGUGAGAGGAUUUAUAAACCUGGGAGUGUCUCCGCGGCCAAAUGUGGGGCACGCACAGGACCACAACGGAAACCAGGGGAUUAAUUGAGGAGAGGAGAGAAAAAAAAAGAGGGGAAAAACAUCUCAUUUGAACUUGUUUUCCCGCAGUUAUUCGGCAUCAUGAAACUCUAUACUUCCCCUUCUCUGAGCUGAAGUAUGUGAGGCAAGUGUGAACCAACUUAGAGGUCAGAGAGGAGGAGAGGAAACACUGAUUUGACAGCAGCUUUAACCGACCUGAGCGCCCAAUAUCAGGGGGACGUGAUGUCAAAGAGUGCAACUCUGUAAAUACGUUCAUACUGUAAUACACAAAAACCUGUAGUUAGUUCAAGUGUGAGAGCGGCCAAGUCAUAUAGACUUUACUUUGGUUCAUGAAUUCACAUCAAAUGUCUGUAAUCACUAUUACAUAUUUGCAUAUAUGCAAAUGUACUGAUUAUGGCUAAAAUAAU